UGGGGAAUAUUGGACAAUGGGCGCAAGCCUGAUCCAGCAAUGCCGCGUGUGUGAAGAAGGCCUGCGGGUUGUAAAGCACUUUCAGUAGAGAAGAAAAGCCUAGGGUUAAUACCCCUGAGUCUUGACGUAACCUACAGAAGAAGCACCGGCUAACUCCGUGCCAGCAGCCGCGGUAAUACGGAGGGUGCGAGCGUUAAUCGGAAUUACUGGGCGUAAAGCGCGCGUAGGCGGCUAGGUCAGUCGAAUGUGAAAGCCCCGGGCUUAACCUGGGAAUUGCACUCGAUACUACCUGGCUAGAAUAUGGGAGAGGGAAGUGGAAUUUCCGGUGUAGCGGUGAAAUGCGUAGAUAUCGGAAGGAACACCAGUGGCGAAGGCGACUUCCUGGCCCAAUAUUGACGCUGAGGUGCGAAAGCGUGGGUAGCGAACAGGAUUAGAUACCCCCGUAGUCC
rnacentral:rRNA from 1 species